CGAUGAUGUCCGUGUAAUUGCACAAUUCACCCCCACUAUUCAUCAACGAUAAUUUAAUUUAUUAAUGAAAACAACACUCAACUGUAGUGGUCGGGGACGGCGGUGUUAUUUAAGGUGUUGAAAUUUAACAGCUACACCGCCUGUACUUACCCCGUAUUUUCCUACAGUGUAAGAUUAAUUUUGCGUCUUAAAAAAAUGCAUCACAAAAAAAAAACCGUUUAUCAUUGGAAAUGUCAAAGGACACAAUUGUCAAUAGAUAAAAGUCAGCAAUCCGCGGGCCGGUCACAUAGAAGCUUGCGAAACUUCAGAAAACAUCAAUCGUUUCAAGAUAUAAAAUAAAAAAAUGUCGAAAAUAAUUUUAUUAUUAUCAAUUUUCGUAUUGGUUGUUAUUUAUCCUGGCGUAUAUGCAGCAUGUCCUGGCGGUUGGUGCCAUCCAUCACAAGGAUAUGGCUGUUGUGAAGGAAAUCAAUGCAAUUCAUAUUAUUCUCAAGGUACAUGCAUAACUAAUAAUGAAUACGCAUUACGACACGUUACUAUACCAAAAUAAUUAUAACAAUACAGUGUAGAAUUAUAAACUUAUUGUAUCAAUUAAUAAAAAUCGAUUAUUUCCAAAA